rnacentral:rRNA from 1 species
UGCCCUAGUAACGGCGAGUGAAGCGGCAACAGCUCAAUUUGAAAUCUGGCUCUUUCAGGGUCCGAGUUGUAAUUUGCAGAGGGCGCUUUGGCGUUGGCAGCGGUCCAAGUUCUUUGGAACAGGACGUCACAGAGGGUGAGAAUCCCGUACGUGGUCGCUAGCCUUCGCCGUGUAAAGCCCCUUCGACGAGUCGAGUUGUUUGGGAAUGCAGCUCUAAAUGGGAGGUAAAUUUCUUCUAAAGCUAAAUACUGGCCAGAGACCGAUAGCGCACAAGUAGAGUGAUCGAAAGAUGAAAAGCACUUUGGAAAGAGAGUCAAAUAGCACGUGAAAUUGUUGAAAGGGAAGCGCUUGCAGCCAGACUUGCCUGUAGUUGCUUAUCUGGACUUUUGUCCGGUGCACUCUUCUGCGGGCAGGCCAGCAUCAGUUUGGGCGGUUGGAUAAAGGUCUCUGUCAUGUACCUCCUUUCGGGGAGGCCUUAUAGGGGAGACGACAUGCAACCAGCCUGGACUGAGGUCCGCGCAUCUGCUAGGAUGCUGGCGUAAUGGCUGUAAGCGGCCCGUCUUGAAACACGGACCAAGGAGUCUAACAUCUAUGCGAGUGUUUGGGUGUCAAGCCCAGACGCGUAAUGAAAGUGAACGGAGGUGGGAACCCUUUGGGUGCACCAUCGACCGAUCCUGAUGUCUUCGGAUGGAUUUGAGUAAGAGCAUGGCUGUUGGGACCCGAAAGAUGGUGAACUAUGCUUGAAUAGGGUGAAGCCAGAGGAAACUCUGGUGGAGGCUCGCAGCGGUUCUGACGUGCAAAUCGAUCGUCAAAUUUGGGCAUAGGG